rnacentral:rRNA from 1 species
UACAGAGGGUGCAACCGUUGUUCGGAAUUACUGGGCGUAAAGCGCGUGCAGGCGGCCUCGCAAGUCGGACGUGAAAUCCCACGGCUCAACCGUGGAAGUGCAUUCGAAACUGCGAGGCUGGAGUCCUGGAGAGGAAAGUGGAAUACUCGGUGUAGAGGUGAAAUUCGUAGAUAUCGAGUGGAACACCGGUGGCGAAGGCGGCUUUCUGGACAGGUACUGACGCUGAGACGCGAAAGCGUGGGGAGCAAACAGG